CCUACGGGUGGCUGCAGUGGGGAAUAUUGCACAAUGGGCGCAAGCCUGAUGCAGCCAUGCCGCGUGUGUGAAGAGGGCCUUCGGGUUGUAAAGCACUUUCAGCGGGGAGGAAGGCGUUAAGGUUAAUAACCUUGGCGAUUGACGUUACCCGCAGAAGAAGCACCGGCUAACUCCGUGCCAGCAGCCGCGGUAAUACGGAGGGUGCAAGCGUUAAUCGGAAUUACUGGGCGUAAAGCGCACGCAGGCGGUCUGUCAAGUCGGAUGUGAAACCCCCGGGCUCAACCUGGGAACUGCAUUCGAAACUGGCAGGCUAGAGUCUUGUAGAGGGGGGUAGAAUUCCAGGUGUAGCGGUGAAAUGCGUAGAGAUCUGGAGGAAUACCGGUGGCGAAGGCGGCCCCCUGGACAAAGACUGACGCUCAGGUGCGAAAGCGUGGGGAGCAAACAGGAUUAGAUACCCCUGUAGUC
rnacentral:rRNA from 1 species